AUCCUUAGGGGAUAUUCGAUAAAAUUGGAACGAUACAGAAAAGAUUAGCAUGACUCCUGCCCAAAGAUAACACACACAAAAUGAGAAAUGGUCCAAAGAUAU